GAGUUUGAUCCUGGCUCAGAACGAACGCUGGCGGCGUGCCUAACACAUGCAAGUCGAACGUGAUCCAGAGCUUGCUCUGGUGAAAGUGGCGCACGGGUGAGUAACGCGUGGAUAACCUACCCUGGAAUCCGGGAUAACAUUCCGAAAGGGGUGCUAAUACCGGAUAAGCCCACGGGCUCUUUGGAGCUUGCGGGAAAAGGUGGCCUCUAUUUAUAAGCUACUGUAUCAGGAUGGGUCCGCGUACCAUUAGCUAGUUGGCGGUGUGACGGACCACCAAGGCGACGAUGGUUAGCUGGUCUGAGAGGAUGAUCAGCCACACUGGAACUGAGACACGGUCCAGACUCCUACGGGAGGCAGCAGUGGGGAAUUUUGCGCAAUGGGGGAAACCCUGACGCAGCAACGCCGCGUGAGUGAUGAAGGCCUUUGGGUCGUAAAGCUCUGUCAGAGGGGAAGAAAUGAUAUAGUGCUAAUACCACUUUAUCUUGACGGUACCCUCAAAGGAAGCACCGGCUAACUCCGUGCCAGCAGCCGCGGUAAUAC
rnacentral:rRNA from 1 species